AACGAACGCUGGCGGCAGGCUUAACACAUGCAAGUCGAGCGCCCCGCAAGGGGAGCGGCAGACGGGUGAGUAACGCGUGGGAAUCUACCCAUCUCUACGGAAUAACGCAUGGAAACGUGUGCUAAUACCGUAUACGUCCUUCGGGAGAAAGAUUUAUCGGAGAUGGAUGAGCCCGCGUUGGAUUAGCUAGUUGGUGGGGUAAAGGCCUACCAAGGCGACGAUCCAUAGCUGGUCUGAGAGGAUGAUCAGCCACACUGGGACUGAGACACGGCCCAGACUCCUACGGGAGGCAGCAGUGGGGAAUAUUGGACAAUGGGCGCAAGCCUGAUCCAGCCAUGCCGCGUGAGAGAUGAAGGCCCUAGGGUUGUAAAGCUCUUUCACCGGUGAGGAUAAUGACGGUAACCGGAGAAGAAGCCCCGGCUAACUUCGUGCCAGCCGCCGCCGCGGUAA
rnacentral:rRNA from 1 species